rnacentral:lncRNA from 1 species
GCCGAGGUUCCAAAGACAGCCUCAGUUUCCCCUUCUGCGGAACAGGCCCGGGGCUGACAACGAGGACCCCGACCGGGCCUCGCACACGGCGGCAACUGGAGUUGGGGGAGUGUAGACGUCCCGCCCCCCCACCUCCCUCGCCGCCGUCCCGCUGCGCGCCCAAGGAGGAGACAAAAUUCAGUUUCUUACACUCAUGAAGGCAAAACAGAAAGCAGAGAAGACUGCCAGGAAACGCUGGGGUGAGGGGCUGCUCCCUUAGAUCAGGUGGUCUGGGGAGGCCUCUCUUCACCAGAGAUGCGUGAGUCACAGCAUGAAGGAGAUGAAUUAGCAACGCUUUCCCAGGAGUAAAGAACAUGGACUUCAUUACCUGGCGUUUAGGACAUUUCCCUUGGUGUCUCAGAGGGACCGCAGGUCAGAUGAGCGUGCAGCUGUGGCUCCAUCCCGUGCCUUUGCCUGUUCUGAACUUUCCAUCAACGGAAUUGCAGAUUGGCCGGGCACGGUGGCUCACGCCUGUAAUCCCAGCACUUUGGGAGGCCGAGGCAAGCAGAUCACGAGGUCAGGAGAUCGAGACCAUCCUGGCUAACACAGUGAAACUCCGUCUCUACUAAAAAUGCAAAAAAUUAGCCGGGCGUGGUGGCGGGCGCCUGUAGUCCCAGCUACUGGGGAGGCUGAGGCGGAAGAAUCGCUUGAACCCGGGAGGCGGAUCACUUGCAGUGAGCGGAGAUCGCACCACUACACUCCAGCCUGGGG